UUCGUCACUCCUGUUCUCAAUUGUGGUCCACAAGCGUACCCAAAGCGCUGUUGCACGACUCUACGGUCUGCGUUCCAAAAGAUUACUUCGGGCACGAGCAUCACCUGUUCCAGGAGCGACUGCUAUUGCUUCUACAUUCUCUCGCCAGUGAAGUCCUGCUGAUAGACUGUACUUGUCUCCUCGCCCUGCACUACUACUGGUUCUGCACUCCUGUUCUCAAUUGUGGUCCACAAGCGUACCCAACGCGCUGUUGCACGACUCUACGAUCUGCGCUCCAAAAGAUUACUUCGGGCACGAGCAUCACCUGUUCCAGGAGCGACUGCUAUUGCUUCUACAUUCUCUCGCCAGUGACGUCCUGCUGAUAGACUGUACUUGUCUCCUCGCCCUGCACUACUACUGGUUCGUCACUCCUGUUCUCAAUUGUGGUCCACAAGCGUACCCAAAGCGCUGUUGCACGACUCUACGGUCUGCAUUCCAAGAGAUUACUUCGGGCACGAGCAUCACCUGUUCCAGGAGCGACUGCUAUUGCUUCUACAUUCUCUCGCCAGUGAAGUCCUGCUGAUAGACUGUACUUGUCUCCUCGCCCUGCACUACUACUGGUUCUGCACUCCUGUUCUCAAUUGUGGUCCACAAGCGUACCCAAGGCGCUGUUGCACGACUCUACGAUCUGUGCUCCAAAAGAUUACUUCGGGCACGGGCAUCACCUGUUCCAGGAGCGACUGCUAUUGCUUCUACAUUCUCUCGCCAGUGAAGUCCUGCUGAUAGACUGUACUUGUCUCCUCGCCCUGCACUACUACUGGUUCUGCACUCCUGUUCUCAAUUGUGGUCCACAAGCGUACCCAAGGCGCUGUUGCACGACUCUACGAUCUGUGCUCCAAAAGAUUACUUCGGGCACGGGCAUCACCUGUUCCAGGAGCGACUGCUAUUGCUUCUACAUUCUCUCGCCAGUGACGUCCUGCUGAUAGACUGUACUUGUCUCCUCGCCCUGCACUACUACUGGUUCUGCCCUCCUGUUCUCAAUUGUGGUCCACAAGCGUACCCAACGCGCUGUUGCACGGCUCUACGAUCUGCGCUCCAAAAGAUUACUUCGGGCACGAGCAUCACUUGUUCCAGGAGCGACUGCUAUUGCUUCUACAUUCUCUCGCCAGUGACGUCCUGCUGAUAGACUGUACUUGUCUCCUCGCCCUGCACUACUACUGGUUCUGCACUCCUGUUUUUGACUGCGGUGGACACCUAGCACGCUCCUGCACAUCGGCUCUCCGUUCUGCGCUCCAGAAGAGAUUACUUCGGGCACCAGCAUCAGCCGUUCCAUGAGCGACUACUAUUCCUUCUAUACGUUCUCUCGCCGACGUCGUCCUGCUGGCAGACUGGACUUAGCCUGGCGCCCUUACACUUAAUUCUGGUUCCCAGUGUUUGCUGUCGCUUGUGGCGCAAGAGAAACGUCCCAGCACUCUUAUUUACAAGAACAUUCCUGGCCUUGCCUCACGAGCAACUACCUUCAGCCCGGUGAUCCUGCCGCGUGCUCUAUACAACAAGCUUCUUCACACUAGUGAACGCGUCGAACCCCUGUCGUGGCGGUGUCCUGAACUGUGUUGACGGCGUGUUCAUGCUCUGAAGGACUGCGUGGGGUCACCGUCGCGAGAUUGUCCAUCGGAUGUGCUCCUACAGUUCGCUGUUGCCUUUUUCUGCAGGCAUGUUUAAGUUUUGUGUAGCAAGAUUUUCUGUUUAGCAAGAGUGGAACGUUGCUCAGCGAGUGGAUAGCGCUUCUAGGAUUCCGGUUAAUACGAAGCAGAACAGUAAAGCUCUGGUUAAGUGGACACCACUCGGUACUUAAUAAGGACUGUCAAUGUUUCCAUGAGCCGAUCUGUAAAUUUUUGGUGGCGAGAGUAAUGGACAUUCAUUCAUUGUGUUCUUCCGUAGUGUGUGUGUGUGUGUGUGUGUGUGUGUGUGUGUGUGUGUGUGUGUGUGUGUGUGUGUGUGUGUGUGUGUGUGUGUGUGUGUGUGUGUGUGUGUGUGUGUGUGUGUGUGUGUGGCCUACUCUGGACUUCUUUUUUUUCGAUCGAGAACGUAUGACAUGAGCUCCGCUGCUACCUGGCGCACUUACAAUUUUUUGUUCUGGUAGCAUUUCCAUCGUCACAUUUGCUUCGCUUUUCCCGGUUCAUUCCCGUUGAAAGGUUCCUGGUUUGAUGGUUUACUAUCGUCUAUGGGCAUGCGCUUUUGGAUUGGUAGAACCGCUAGUUUUUUUGGCUUUGGUCCAUGGAUUGAUUUGUCCUCGUUUCAGCCUUCAGCGGAUUUGUUCAGGCUCCUUUCUCGUGCCAGAAACGGUCUUCACACCUUCUCGGUUCUUCCACGUCGCACAUCACUGACUCGAAGAGAUUAACAUGCCACUACAAAAGGACACAAUGUCAAUGAAUGGGAAAGGGGAGGGUGAUUACUCUCGCCAACAAAGAUUUCCUGAUUUGCUCAUGAUGAUAAUGACUUCAAACUAUAAGACUGGUUGGUUGUAAAGGUCACCGGGCUCGCUGUUGCUAGUUUUUUUUGUGUGCUUGACUCAUCAAACGUUUUUAUGGAUCUACAUGGUCCAACUUGUGUAUUACCUGUCGUUUGUUUAUCGGACAGUGCUACCCGCUGUCGUCGCUUGUUCACCGCUUACACCGCGCCGUAGUUUGAUAUUUGUGUCCACAACUAUCGCGUACUUUGCAAGAUAGGCAAGAACACUGAAGCGCCAGGGCGCCCUUCACGCGACGGUGACGUCGUUGCCUGCUGACUGUAGUUCAGAUUACGCAAACUUGUGUAAUUUCGUGAUUAAAGUGCACCACGUGAGCCAUUGUCAAACAGCUGCUUCGAAGGGGCUACAUGUAUUCCCUUUAUGCCAAGUCGUGUGUAAACGCCUAGAGAAGUGACGAGCACGCUCAAAGAAAUCUUGGUUAGAAAAUGUCCGCUUGCAUUUUUUGUGUUGAAGCGAAUUAAGUUCACCAGAGUUUCCCCCCGUACUUUUUUUUGCUGUACGUUGUCUUUCCAUUGCUCUUCGCAUGCAUCUGAAUGCGUUUGCGUUCAACAGUGAUUGAAUUUGCACACGCUACCAUUGUUGUACUAAUCUCGAUAUAAGGACACACACUUGAUUUAUUACGAAAAUCUUCCGUUCUCAACCUGUAAUAACCUUACCUUUGCGUUGCUCGAUAACCAAAAACUGAGCACUGUUCUUGGUAAAUGUUCACGCGUGGCGCAUUGCUCUGCCUUUUUUUUUUUCGCUGCUUUCAUACGCUGUGACGAGUCGAGCAACCACGCAUGCGCGGUUGUGCUCAGUCAAAUGCAUUUUUUAACCUCUAACAUACAGAGCAAUGGAGCCUUACUGUAGGGUGCCUUAUUUCCCAUCUUCAGUUACACGACAAUCUCGCAAUUGCGCCACACAAUACUCGCAAUCAGUUUGCGACUAGUGCGGUGAUUUGGACUUCGUGAUAGGCAUCCGCUGUGGUUGAUUAGUGGCUAUGGUGUUGGCCUGCUAAGCACGAGGUUGCGCUAUCGAAUCCCGGCCACGGCGGCCGCAUUUCUAUUGAGGCGAAAUGGAAAACACCUGUUCACUUAAUUUAAGUCCGUUAAAGCACCCCAGGUAGUCCAAUUUAUUGGAGUCUCUCACUGCGGCGUGCAUCAUCAGAUCGUGGUUUUCGCAAGUAAAACCUCAUAAUUUUUGUUCGUAUGAGUCAUUGGAAGCUUUUCUCUUUUUUUGUCUAAAGCAAAUGGUACGUGGACGCAGAGAAAAACAAGACACCCACACAGCACUCAAUAGUUCGCAAUACGACAGCGAUGCACGAAAUAACUGCACAUUGAGGUCAUAUUAGAGGAUGUGACGUGGUAUGUAUAGAUAGUCGUCUAAAUGUGUUUGUCCCUUCCGUGCGUUUGGCAUCCAACUGGGAAAGUUCGAAUACUUGCGCGCUUUCUCGUUUACUGAAAACGAAUGCCGGAAUCGUUUUUCCAUCUCCCAGCGAAGGUGCUCUACUACGCUUACCAAUUUCAGAUAAGUUUUACAGCUUGAAGCUAUUCGAACUUUAAUGUAUGCAAGGAAGUCUGUUGCUGCGCCUUCACUUAUGCUGUUAUUUUCGGUUUAUUGGUCUAAGAAAACUGUUGUCAGUUUUGCAUUUUUAUACGCCGAAGUAUCGUGAAACUGAGAACUUACCUGUUCUAUGUAAGUUUCUGUAUGUAUUUGACAUGUAUUCCUGUACAAAUGCAUAAAUGUAUGUUAACGCACUGUAUUGUAUAUAUGCUGUUUGCAGCAUCUGGGAUUAAGUCCAGUCAAGUAGCAUUGAAUCGCUUAAUUCCGUUGACUUAACAGUAGUGUUUAAUGCAAUGAGUACUCAGUAAAACCAGCGCUAAACUGCACCUUGCUCAAAUCAUCUGUCAAAAUAAACAGUCUUAUUCUUGU